GAAAUCUUCAAGAUUUGCAACAAGUUUCCUCGUACACUUGAACUAUAAAGCUUCAUUAUAUUUUCAAAACAUGGGAAGAGGAAAGGAAAAACACACGUGCUUACAUUUCCUAGUUGUUCUCAUUCAGAUCUUUGAUACCGUUUUAAGCUGUCCUGCAUCGAUGCCGACUAUUUCGUACGUAUCCAAUUGUCCGACAAGCCAAGAAGAGUGGGAAAUGGCAGCUGAACGGAAGAACUGUGAGAGCAUUGCGGCAAUUCAGAACUGUACUUCUCGGAAUAAAUUCAAAUAUCAUUGUUUAAUGGAUCACUGGAAAAACAAAACAUUAGAAGUUUGUGCAUCUAUUUUCUACUU